GUUAGUAUUAGAAAGGUGGUGUGUGAUAUCACUGAUCCAUGCUAUAUAUGCUUUGGUACGUUAGUAUUAGAAAGGUGGUGUGUGAUAUCACUGAUCCAUGCUAUAUAUCCUUUGGUAAGUUAGUAUUAGAAAGGUGGUGUGUGAUAUCACUGAUCCAGGCUAUAUAUGCUUUGGUACGUUAGUAUUAGAAAGGUGGUGUGAGUGAUAUCACUGAUCCAUGCUAUAUAUGCUUUGGCACGUUAGUAUUAGAAAGGUGGUGUGUGAUAUCACUGAUCCAUGCUAUAUAUGCUUUGGCACGUUAGUAUUAGAAAGGUGGUGUGUGAUAUCACUGAUCCAUGCUAUAUAUGCUUUGGUACGUUAGUAUUAGAAAGGUGGUGUGUGAUAUCACUGAUCCAUGCUAUAUAUCCUUUGGCACGUUAGUAUUAGAAAGGUGGUGUGUGAUAUCACUGAUCCAUGCUAUAUAUGCUUUGGCACGUUAGUAUUAGAAAGGUGGUGUGUGAUAUCACUGAUCCAUGCUAUAUGCUUUGCUAAUCGCUAGUAUUAGAAAGGUGGUGCGAUAUCACUGAUCCAUGCUAUAUAAUUCCUAAAUGCUAGUAUUAGAAAGGUGGUGUGUGAUAUCACUGAUCCAUGCUAUAUAUGCUUUGGCACGUUAGUAUUAGAAAGGUGGUGUGUGUGUGAUAUCACUGAUCCAGGCUAUAUAUCCUUUGGUACGUUAGUAUUAGAAAGGUGGUGUGUGAUAUCACUGAUCCAUGCUAUAUAUGCUUUGGCACGUUAGUAUUAGAAAGGUGGUGUGUGAUAUCACUGAUCCAUGCUAUAUAUCCUUUGGCACGUUAGUAUUAGAAAGGUGGUGUGUGAUAUCACUGAUCCAUGCUAUAUAUCCUUUGGCACGUUAGUAUUAGAAAGGUGGUGUGUGUGUGAUAUCACUGAUCCAGGCUAUAUAUGCUUUGGCACGUUAGUAUUAGAAAGGUGGUGUGUGUGAUAUCACUGAUCCAUGCUAUAUAUCCUUUGGUACGUUAGUAUUAGAAAGGUGGUGUGUGUG